rnacentral:rRNA from 1 species
UGGGGAAUAUUGGGCAAUGGGCGCAAGCCUGACCCAGCCAUGCCGCGUGGGUGAAGAAGGUCUUCGGAUUGUAAAGCCCUUUCGGCGGGGACGAUGGUGACGGUACCCGCAGAAGAAGCCCCGGCUAACUUCGUGCCAGCAGCCGCGGUAAUACGAAGGGGGCUAGCGUUGCUCGGAUUUACUGGGCGUAAAGGGCGCGUAGGCGGCGGAUCAAGUCAGGCGUGAAAGUCCUGGGCUUAACCUGGGGAUUGCGCUUGAGACUGGUUUGCUUGAGGCCGAGAGAGGGUGGUGGAAUUCCCAGUGUAGAGGUGAAAUUCGUAGAGAUUGGGAAGAACACCGGUGGCGAAGGCGUCCACCUGGCUCGGUCCUGACGCUGAGGCGCGAAAGCGUGGGGAGCAAACAGG